AGAAAAAUCUUUCCUGUAGCAGAGUCUGCCCAGCUGGCUACUACGUAAGCACACGCAUAGACCAGAACCACCACAUUGGAGCCUGCUCGCCUUGCCCGUCUGGAACUUUCAGAGCUCAUCCCAGUGAAGAGCCUCGAUGCGUGCCGUGUGCCCAGUGCCGAGAGGAUCAGGAAGUGGUGAAGCGCUGCUCCACGACCAGCGACCAGGAGUGCCGGUGCCAGCCGGGCAAGUUCUACUGUGACUCCGAGGACUGCACAGAGAGCUGCUUCCGGUGUACAAGGUGUGGAGACGGCGCCAUCCUUCAACCCUGCACUGCCAUAAACAAUACAGUUUGUGCCUUAAACCCAGAGUCAGGACACCCGGGAUCGUCAUGGGCCUGCCUGGGUGUUAAUGUGGAGGUUUGCGUUCCCAUCAUCGUCGCCAUCGUCGUCAUCAUCGUCA